UACGUAGGUGGCGAGCGUUGUCCGGAUUUACUGGGCGUAAAGGGAGCGUAGGCGGACCUUUAAGUGAGAUGUGAAAUACUCGGGCUCAACUUGAGUGCUGCAUUUCAAACUGGAAGACUAGAGUGCAGGAGAGGAGAAUGGAAUUCCUAGUGUAGCGGUGAAAUGCGUAGAGAUUAGGAAGAACACCAGUGGCGAAGGCGAUUCUCUGGACUGUAACUGACGCUGAGGCUCGAAAGCGUGGGGAGCAAACAGG
rnacentral:rRNA from 1 species